rnacentral:rRNA from 1 species
UACGUAGGGACCGAGCGUUGUCCGGAUUCAUUGGGCGUAAAGAGCUCGUAGGCGGCUGUUCAAGUCGAACGUGAAAACUCGGAGCUCAACUCCGAGCCUGCGUUCGAUACUGGACGGCUAGAGUCUGGUAGGGGGAUCUGGAAUUCCUGGUGUAGCGGUGGAAUGCGCAGAUAUCUGGAGGAAUACCGGUGGCGAAGGCGGCAUCCUGGACCGGCAUUGACGCUGAGGAGCGAAAGCUAGGGGAGCAAACGGG